AUUGAACGCUGGCGGCAUGCCUUACACAUGCAAGUCGAACGGUAACGCGGGGCAACCUGGCGACGAGUGGCGAACGGGUGAGUAAUGUAUCGGAACGUGCCCAGUUGUGGGGGAUAACUGCUCGAAAGAGCAGCUAAUACCGCAUACGACCUGAGGGUGAAAGCGGGGGAUCGCAAGACCUCGCGCAAUUGGAGCGGCCGAUAUCAGAUUAGGUAGUUGGUGGGGUAAAGGCUCACCAAGCCAACGAUCUGUAGCGGGUAUGAAAGGCCGACCAGCCACAAUGGGACUGAGACACGGCCCAGAGUCCUACGGGAGGCAGCAGUGGGGAAUGUUGGACAAUGGACGCAAGUCUGAUCCAGCCAUGCCGCGUGCGGGAAGAAGGCCUUCGGGUUGUAAACCGCUUUUGUCAGGGAAGAAACGCUCUGGGUUAAUAUCUCGGGGUAAUGACGGUACCUGAAGAAUAAGCACCGGCUAACUACGUGCCAGCCGCCGCCGUAACAC
rnacentral:rRNA from 1 species